GGCAUAAGGGAGCUUGACUGCGAGACCUACAAGUCGAGCAGGGUCGAAAGACGGACUUAGUGAUCCGGUGGUUCCGCAUGGAAGGGCCAUCGCUCAACGGAUAAAAGCUACCCCGGGGAUAACAGGCUUAUCUCCCCCAAGAGUUCACAUCGACGGGGAGGUUUGGCACCUCGAUGUCGGCUCAUCGCAUCCUGGGGCUGUAGUCGGUCCCAAGGGUUGGGCUGUUCGCCCAUUAAAGCGGUACGCGAGCUGGGUUCAGAACGUCGUGAGACAGUUCGGUCCCUAUCCGUCGUGGGCGUAGGAAAUUUGAGAGGAGCUGUCCUUAGUACGAGAGGACCGGGAUGGACAUACCUCUGGUGUACCAGUUGUCGUGCCAACGGCAUAGCUGGGUAGCUAUGUGUGGACGGGAUAAGUGCUGAAAGCAUCUAAGCAUGAAGCCCCCCUCAAGAUGAGAUUUCCCAACUUCGGUUAUAAGAUCCCUCAAAGAUGAUGAGGUUAAUAGGUUCGAGGUGGAAGCAUGGUGACAUGUGGAGCUGACGAAUACUAAUCGAUCGAAGACUUAAUCAA
rnacentral:rRNA from 1 species